rnacentral:ncRNA from 1 species
UCUGCCAGCAGCCGCGGUAAUUCCAGCUCCAAAAGUAUAUAUUUAAGUUGUUGCGGUUAAAAAGCUCGUAGUUGGAUUUUGGGCGCAGGCGGCCGGUCCGUCGCAAGGCGUGUACUGGACGUCCUGGCCUUCCCUCCGGUUCUCCGCCGGUGCUCUUGACUGAGUGUCGGCGGCGGCCGGAACGUUUACUUUGAAAAAAUUAGAGUGUUCAAAGCAGGCUCUCGAGCCUGGAUAAUGGUGCAUGGAAUAAUGGAAUAGGACCUCGGUUCUAUUUUGUUGGUUUUCGGAGCGCGAGGUAAUGAUUAAGAGGGACAGACGGGGGCAUUCGUACUGUGCCGUUAGAGGUGAAAUUCUUGGAUCGGCGCAAGACGAACGACUGCGAAAGCAUUUGCCAAGAAUGUUUUCUUUAAUCAAGAGCGAAAGUCAGAGGUUCGAAGACGAUCAGAUACCGUCCUAGUUCUGACUAUAAACGAUGCCAACUAGCGAUCGGGGGGCGUUACAUUGACGACCCCUCCGGCAGCUUACGGGAAACCAAAGUCUUUGGGUUCCGGGGGAAGUAUGGUUGCAAAGCUGAAACUUAACUCUUUCCCUCCCAACUCGCCAUAUAUGGCGAGUUGGUGGGAAAACAUGG